AGCCUAGUUGGUUUAGCCAUGGAAAAAGCAAGGAACCUUCCCGCUAGCCAUGAUUGGCUGAGAUAAUGGAUGGUCUGGCCAUGGCGGGAGAUGCGUUUGGAUUGGUCUGCCAUGUAGCAUGCUUCUGUCUAUAACGUGAGCUGUUCACUAUGUGUUGACAGUUCUUUCUACCGUGCCGUUUUUGAAAGAUAUACAGUUAGCCAUCGAGGACUACAAAGGUUUUGCUACUUUUCUCAACAACAUUGAUGCCCUGAAUUUAGCAGGCGCUAUCGACAGAUCAGUGUGAACCGGAGUGACUUGACACAACGCUGACCAAACAAGAUGUAGCUACAAACAAAACAGAGUUAAAUGGUUCCAGUCUGUCGUGAAGCAUUCAUCCAUUUAUACGGGGUUUUGGGCCGUAGUUUGAGAUGGCUGCCACUCUCCGGAAACUUGCAGUAUUUGUGUCAGGCAUGUGGAUUUGCCUCCUGCUCCUCAACCCCUUUCCACAAACCGGGUAAGAUGACUCAUAGUUCUCUCCCUUCUCCCCCUAGCUCUCUCCCAAUUCCAGACACUCGCUCCUCUCCACCUCCUUUUUCCUCUCGUCCUCUUCUGUCCCCCAUUUUGAAGCUCUAGGGAUGUGUUGCAGCUAAUGCAUUCAUUAAUAAGGCUUUAGUACUGUAGCCAGGCUUUAUGAGCCGCAGAAUGCCAUUUUGGAGACCUAGUGUAAAUCGCUAUUGGAUUUCUAGUGGCAAAGCGAUGCUCAAUCAACCUGGAGGAAGGGAAGGCUGGCCUGCCGACAGAGCUUUGGGCAGACCUGAGGGACGGUGAGACAGGGCUUAGCCCAGAUUGUUUUGCCAUGGUGCCAGUCAGCUCUCACUGCCUAUUAGCAGCACACAGAACUGGUGAAUUUCACAUUUGUAAAAAGAUGUACAGCCAGGAGGUUCUUUCCAAGACAUGGCCAUACACAAGGCCUAAGAUCACUAUGGUAUUCCUACUGAGUCCACUUCCCCAGUGCAGUGUGCUGCAUGCUCUAGCCUUGUGUAUCCAUUUCAAACCAUGGUCAAGGCUCCCUAGCCUACCACAAGCUUUUUAGAACUAGUGACUGAACUAUUACUCACCACUGUUACUUACCCUUCCUGACUCACACAGCAACUAGCAUCUACCCAUCUCAACUCAUUUGUAAACCAUCCCCCAUUAUCAAAGCAUUCCCGUUGGUUCGCUACAGAGAUGUUGUGACUUUACUUCCAUUCAUCUGAU
rnacentral:lncRNA from 13 species